CUCUUAUCAAGAGCAGGUGGAGGGAUUUUGGCCCGAUGAAGCCCAGCAACCGACCGUAAUACCAUCGCGAGAUGGGGCGUCCACGUCAAGUGAGAGUGGGAGCCUUGACCUGUAGUCAAACACGGCACGGUGCUAAUUCCAGCGGAACGUAUUUUAUUUGACGUUCGCAAGAUAAGAG
rnacentral:ncRNA from 2 species